rnacentral:misc_RNA from 1 species
CAACUAGUUUGGGAUUAAGGCUUGGUGGUGUUGUCAUCGUCUAUAGCCAAUCAAAAUUCAAUGAUAAAUAAAUGUUGGUUAAUACUUUGAUGAUCGUUAUUUAUUGAAUACCUAAGCAGCACGGAAACACUGAUACAUGGAAACACAUAAAUAGAUACAGGGAAACGACAUUUCUCAGAAAAGUGUGAAAUGAAAACGUGGGAAAACAUGUAGGUAUUAAAAAUAUAGGGGUAUAUUUAUAAGUAUUAAUUUUUGAUAUUGAUUUUUUUUUUUAUUUUGUUAAAUUGAAAUAAAUGGCAAAAACUAUUGAAAAGUGAGGAAGAAUUUUAUUAAUGAAAAGGAUAUGUACAGAAGUGAUCUCACAUAGCUUAUAUAUACAUUAGCUACUUAGAAACUGUUAUCAACAUAAACAAUAAGCAAAAUAAUCUUACUUUUACAGUGUUUCAUAAAUAGAGUAU